GACGAACGCUGGCGGCGUGCCUAAUACAUGCAAGUCGAACGAACUCUGGUAUUGAUUGGUGCUUGCAUCAUGAUUUACAUUUGAGUGAGUGGCGAACUGGUGAGUAACACGUGGGAAACCUGCCCAGAAGCGGGGGAUAACACCUGGAAACAGAUGCUAAUACCGCAUAACAACUUGGACCGCAUGGUCCGAGUUUGAAAGAUGGCUUCGGCUAUCACUUUUGGAUGGUCCCGCGGCGUAUUAGCUAGAUGGUGGGGUAACGGCUCACCAUGGCAAUGAUACGUAGCCGACCUGAGAGGGUAAUCGGCCACAUUGGGACUGAGACACGGCCCAAACUCCUACGGGAGGCAGCAGUAGGGAAUCUUCCACAAUGGACGAGAGUCUGAUGGAGCAACGCCGCGUGAGUGAAGAAGGGUUUCGGCUCGUAAAACUCUGUUGUUAAAGAAGAACAUAUCUGAGAGUAACUGUUCAGGUAUUGACGGUAUUUAACCAGAAAGCCACGGCUAACUACGUGCCAGCAGCCGCGGUAAUACGUAGGUGGCAAGCGUUGUCCGGAUUUAUUGGGCGUAAAGCGAGCGCAGGCGGUUUUUUAAGUCUGAUGUGAAAGCCUUCGGCUCAACCGAAGAAGUGCAUCGGAAACUGGGAAACUUGAGUGCAGAAGAGGACAGUGGAACUCCAUGUGUAGCGGUGAAAUGCGUAGAUAUAUGGAAGAACACCAGUGGCGAAGGCGGCUGUCUGGUCUGUAACUGACGCUGAGGCUCGAAAGUAUGGGUAGCAAACAGGAUUAGAUACCCUGGUAGUCCAUACCGUAAACGAUGAAUGCUAAGUGUUGGAGGGUUUCCGCCCUUCAGUGCUGCAGCUAACGCAUUAAGCAUUCCGCCUGGGGAGUACAGCCGCAGGGCUGAAACUCAAAGGAAUUGACGGGGGCCCGCACAAGCGGUGGAGCAUGUGGUUUAAUUCGAAGCUACGCGAAGAACCUUACCAGGUCUUGACAUACUAUGCAAAUCUAAGAGAUUAGACAUUCCCUUCGGGGACAUGGAUACAGGUGGUGCAUGGUUGUCGUCAGCUCGUGUCGUGAGAUGUUGGGUUAAGUCCCGCAACGAGCGCAACCCUUAUUAUCAGUUGCCAGCAUUAAGUUGGGCACUCUGGUGAGACUGCCGGUGACAAACCGGAGGAAGGUGGGGAUGACGUCAAAUCAUCAUGCCCCUUAUGACCUGGGCUACACACGUGCUACAAUGGAUGGUACAACGAGUUGCGAACUUGCGAGAGUAAGCUAAUCUCUUAAAGCCAUUCUCAGUUCGGAUUGUAGGCUGCAACUCGCCUACAUGAAGUCGGAAUCGCUAGUAAUCGCGGACCAGCAUGCCGCGGUGAAUACGUUCCCGGGCCUUGUACACACCGCCCGUCACACCAUGAGAGUUUGUAACACCCAAAGUCGGUGGGGUAACCUUUUAGGAACCAGCCGCCUAAGGUGGGACAGAUGAUUAGGGUGAAGUCGUAACAAGGUAGCCGUAGGAGAACC
rnacentral:rRNA from 1 species